rnacentral:rRNA from 1 species
UUGGCUAAUCCUGGUCGGACAUCAGGAGGUUAGUGCAAUGGCAUAAGCCAGCUUGACUGCGAGCGUGACGGCGCGAGCAGGUGCGAAAGCAGGUCAUAGUGAUCCGGUGGUUCUGAAUGGAAGGGCCAUCGCUCAACGGAUAAAAGGUACUCCGGGGAUAACAGGCUGAUACCGCCCAAGAGUUCAUAUCGACGGCGGUGUUUGGCACCUCGAUGUCGGCUCAUCACAUCCUGGGGCUGAAGUAGGUCCCAAGGGUAUGGCUGUUCGCCAUUUAAAGUGGUACGCGAGCUGGGUUUAGAACGUCGUGAGACAGUUCGGUCCCUAUCUGCCGUGGGCGCUGGAGAACUGAGGGGGGCUGCUCCUAGUACGAGAGGACCGGAGUGGACGCAUCACUGGUGUUCGGGUUGUCAUGCCAAUGGCACUGCCCGGUAGCUAAAUGCGGAAGAGAUAAGUGCUGAAAGCAUCUAAGCACGAAACUUGCCCCGAGAUGAGUUCUCCCUGACCCUUUAAGGGUCCUGAAGGAACGUUG